rnacentral:rRNA from 1 species
GAGAUCGGGAUAACACCUGGAAACAGAUGCUAAUACCGGAUAACAACAGAUGAUGCCUAUCAACUGUUUAAAAGAUGGUUCUGCUAUCACUCUUGGAUGGACCUGCGGUGCAUUAGCUAGUUGGUAGGGUAACGGCCUACCAAGGCGAUGAUGCAUAGCCGAGUUGAGAGACUGAUCGGCCACAUUGGGACUGAGACACGGCCCAAACUCCUACGGGAGGCAGCAGCC